rnacentral:lncRNA from 1 species
GUUAAGGUUAGGACAACAGUACCUGUGGUUAGGGUUAAGGUUAAGGUUAGGACAACAGUACCUGUGGUUAGGGUUAAGGUUAAGGUUAGGACAACAGUACCUGUGGUUAAGGUUAAGGUUCGGGCAGCAGUACCUGUGGUUAAGGUUAAGGUUAGGACAACAGUACCUGUGGUUAAGGUUAAGGUUAGGGCAGCAGUACCUGUGGUUAAGGUUAAGGUUAAGGUUAGGACAACAGUACCUGUGGUUAAGGUUAAGGUUAGAACAACAGUAGCUGUGGUUAAGGUUAAGGUUAGGACAACAGUAACUGUGGUUAAGGUUAAGGUUAGGACAACAGUACCUGUGGUUAAGGUUAAGGUUAGGACAACAGUACCUGUGGUUAAGGUUAAGGUUAGGACAACA